UACGUAGGGUGCGAGCGUUGUCCGGAAUUACUGGGCGUAAAGAGCUCGUAGGUGGUUUGUCGCGUUGUUCGUGAAAACCCACGGCUUAACUGUGGGCUUGCAGUCGAUACGGGCAGGCUAGAGUUCGGUAGGGGAGACUGGAAUUCCUGGUGUAGCGGUGAAAUGCGCAGAUAUCAGGAGGAACACCGGUGGCGAAGGCGGGUCUCUGGGCCGAUACUGACGCUGAGGAGCGAAAGCGUGGGGAGCGAACAGG
rnacentral:rRNA from 1 species